UUGGUAUGCUGCUAUAAAAAAGGCUAUGUGAGGUGACAGGUAUGCUGGUGAGCUUGAUUAAUCGGUCUGCAGUGAACUGACAAGGCACAAAAUCAUUUAAACAUCCUAAAAUAUAUAUUUAUUAUUUGUUAGCACACAGCAAAGCACAGGAAGGCUGUGGAAAAGAGCAAAAUUUUCUAUAAAUCACAACAGAGUGACGGGUGACAGUCUCAGAAGAGCAUGUGUAGUCUACUAGCUGCGGCAUCUUAAAGGGAUUAAGGAAAAUAUACAGGCAUGACAUAAUUUAUGAAAAAGAAGCAAAGAAAUCUGAAGCCCUCAGAUUGGUCAGCUAGCUACAGGGCCGGGUAGAAUGGGUCAAAGGUCUGUAGGAACUUGGCCUCCAUCAUCUAAGAAUGUUGUAAAACUCAAGAAAAAAUGACGUAUAUUAACUCGAGUACCCAAAGGAUGUGGUUCUCCCCUUCCUAGCUAGUGAGUCUCAAACUCUCUAAGUCAGUCCAAUGACUCCAAGAUCUCCAUAGUGAGCUACCCACUGGGGUUGCAGCAAUCCACCCAGGACGUCUUCAGGAGAAGAGGCCAGAAAGUGGUGGGAUUCCAACCUAACAGCACAGACCUUGGGGCAAUCGAGCAGCUCAGCCCAAAUCCCUCUUCUCCACAGUCCCACAAAGGGAGCAUUAAUGUUUGCCUUGUGAAUAACAUCCAGUAUUACACUGCACACGGAGACGGGUAGCCAUGUUCCACAGAUGCCAGCUAAAUCCUUGAUAAACCAACAGGUAAUUUGGCCACACAACAUAAUGCAUGUGUGUGUCCUUAGAUUUUCAUUUAGUUAGUGGGGCCAGUGGGUUGAGUACUGAUAAAGUAUUAUUGUAAUGACUAUCUGAUGAAAGUUUUUAAAAAGGGAUAGUAACUUAUCAGACAUAAAGACAAGUUUGUUCUCUGGAACUCAGCAGUGACAGCAAAUUGGUGAAUCCCUAAGGGGGCAGGUGGGCUGAGGGUCUCCAUCCCAUCACCCACACUUGCUAUGGUAAAUUAAAUCUGUUUUUACACUGGGAUACCACAGUAUCACAUUGUUUUGCUUUCUAAUUAAAAGUCUUUAGGGCGACACUCCCUGUGUCCCUCUACUGUGUGUCCUUGCUCAGUGAAUAUUCUGCAGUUUCUCUUCAUCUGUUCACCCCCAUCCCCACACUGGUGACCCUUACACAGCCCUGCUCAGUGUUGUAAACACAAGGAUUCUAUUGAAUAUGCCCCAUCUAUCCAUAGAUGGCCCAUGGAGGACCACUGAGGAGCUACACAGAACCACAGUUUCUCCCUCUCCCUCCCCCCUCUCUCCCUCUGUGUGUGUGUGUGUGUGUGUGUGUGUGUGUGUGUGUGUGUGUGUAACUCAGUUUGCCACUGAUCACUGUCAUAGCCUUCUGAUAAGUUCUGGCUUCUCAAUUUCAUUCCAUUACUUCAUUUCUGUUUCUGUUCCCAGUCACCUCUGUCUCCUUUGUGUGAGGCUGGUAGAUGGCCCUGUGCUGACCUCCUGGAAGAACCUGCCACUCUUCUGCAUGGGCUGUAUCCAGGCAGAGAUCCCGUGGUGAGCAGGUGACCAGAGCCACAAGGGCUGGGGAGAUGGCUCUGUGUGUAAAGUCCCUGCUGUACACCAGGACCCGAGUCCAGAUCACCAACAUGCACGGAAAAGUUGGGUAUGGAAGACACUAUGCCUGUGAUCCUGUCACUGGGGAGGAAGAAACAAGAGGCUCCCUGGGGCUUGAUGUCCAGCCAGUGAGCUCUAGGUUCAGUGAGAGACAAUGACUCAAGAAAAUCAGAGGCUUAGCUCCUCACUUCACACAGAAGCAGCAGCAAUAACCUCUGAUACACAUCCAAGGUGCCACGUGUGCCUGGGACCUGUGGCUUAUGGCAUGGGUGGCUUUGAAUGCAGCCCAAGCACAGAACUCAUAAACGUAUUUAAAACAUUA